rnacentral:rRNA from 1 species
UACGUAGGUCCCGAGCGUUGUCCGGAUUUAUUGGGCGUAAAGCGUGCGCAGGUGGUUUAAUAAGUCUGAUGUAAAAGGCAGUGGCUCAACCAUUGUGUGCAUUGGAAACUGUUAGACUUGAGUGCAGUAGAGGAGAGUGGAAUUCCAUGUGUAGCGGUGAAAUGCGUAGAUAUCGGGAGGAACACCAGUAGCGAAGGCGGCCAUCUGGCUGAUAACUGACGCUCAUGCACGAAAGCGUGGGGAGCAAACAGG